AUAACUCAGACAGCCAGGACACACACUGCACCCCAAACACUCAAGUCCCUGUGUAAAUCUUCACUCCUCCAAGCACAGAGGGAAGCCUGCUCCGUAGGCUCUGUUAAGUGUACUGCUGCCGCUGACAUCAUCAUAAAUAGGAAGGGAGAGAGUCCAGGAACCACAGGGCUCACUUCCUAGCCUCUCUAUUUAAGAUUUUCGAGGGCAGAUGGCACUAUAUUUAACCAGCACAAGUAGUAUUCAUUGUGCCCAGGGCCUCUUAAGGAAAACUGAACAAAGUUUUAGAAUGAACCUGCCCUCACCUCACUCCUGCUCAACCAUUUCACCCAACAACAAGUUAGAGGCAGAGAAGAUGAAUAUUAUUAAAAUGAUGCUUCUAAAUCAGGACCUUAUGGGUGCUUUGGCUCUCAACUUUUUUCAUAAAAUAUCUGUCCAGUCCAGACCGAGGAGCCAGCUUCGACAGCAUUCUGGCAUGAUCAUCUUCCUUGUGGAAUUUGGUUCUGAAUCAAGGGCCUCAGAAACCAAGCCCGGUUCUUUUGGUCUGCAGGGAAUGCUGAUGCAGGUAAG
rnacentral:lncRNA from 1 species